rnacentral:rRNA from 1 species
UGAGUAACGCGUAUCCAAACUACCCCAAUACUCAGGCAUAACCCGUGAAAGACGGACUAAUUCCUGAUGGUAUGUAUUUUUCUCUGAAUUAUACAUUAAAAGAAUUUCGGUAAUGGAUGGGGAUGCGUCUGAUUAGUUUGUUGGUGAGGUAACGGCUCACCAAGACUUCGAUCAGUAGGGGUUCUGAGAGGAAGGUCCCCCACAUUGGAACUGAGACACGCUCCAAACUCCUACGGGAGGCAGCAGUGAGGAAUAUUGGUCAAUGGAUGGAAAUCUGAACCAGCCAAGUAGCGUGCAGGAUGACGGCCCUAUGGGUUGUAAACUGCUUUUAUGUGAGAAUAAAGUUAGGUAUGCAUACUUAUUUGCAUGUAUCACAUGAAUAAGGACCGGCUAAUUCCGUGCCAGCAGCCGCGGUAAUACGGAAGGUCCAGGCGUUAUCCGGAUUUAUUGGGUUUAAAGGGUGCGUAGGCCGUUUGAUAAGCGUGCUGUGAAAUAUAGUGGCUCAACCUCUAUCGUGCAGCGCGAACUGUCGAACUUGAGUGCGUAGUAGGUAGGCGGAAUUCGUGGUGUAGCGGUGAAAUGCUUAGAUAUCACGAAGAACUCCGAUUGCGAAGGCAGCUUACCGUAACGUUACUGACGCUUAAGCGCGAAGGUGCGGGUAUCGAACAGG